AUCAGUUUAACACUUAAAAAAAUUUAUCAAAGCGUGGUGAUUAGGUUUUCACACUCAUGUGUGAGAUGCGCCUCCCUUGAACUUUGUUACAUUGGCACUUUACCCAUUUGACA
ensembl:snoRNA